AAAAUCCGGUCCCUCUAUCCCCA
rnacentral:tRNA from 1 species